UGCGGAGGGAUCAUUACUGAGUUUACGCUCUAUAACCCUUUGUGACAUACCUAUAACUGUUGCUUCGGCGGGUAGGGUCUCCGCGACCCUCCCGGCCUCCCGCCUCCGGGCGGGUCGGCGCCCGCCGGAGGAUAACCAAACUCUGAUUUAACGACGUUUCUUCUGAGUGGUACAAGCAAAUAAUCAAAACUUUUAACAACGGAUCUCUUGGUUCUGGCAUCGAUGAAGAACGCAGCGAAAUGCGAUAAGUAAUGUGAAUUGCAGAAUUCAGUGAAUCAUCGAAUCUUUGAACGCACAUUGCGCCCGCCAGCAUUCUGGCGGGCAUGCCUGUUCGAGCGUCAUUUCAACCCUCAAGCUCUGCUUGGUGUUGGGGCCCUACAGCUGAUGUAGGCCCUCAAAGGUAGUGGCGGACCCUCCCGGAGCCUCCUUUGCGUAGUAACUUUACGUCUCGCACUGGGAUCCGGAGGGACUCUUGCCGUAAAACCCCCCAAUUUUCCAAAGGUUGACCUCGGAUCAGGUAGGAAUACCCGCUGAACUUAAGCAUAUCAU
rnacentral:rRNA from 1 species